rnacentral:rRNA from 1 species
AGCGAACGCUGGCGGCAGGCCUAACACAUGCAAGUCGAACGAACCUUUCGGGGUUAGUGGCGGACGGGUGAGUAACACGUGGGAACGUGCCUUUAGGUUCGGAAUAACUCAGGGAAACUUGUGCUAAUACCGAAUGUGCCCUUCGGGGGAAAGAUUAAUCGCCUUUAGAGCGGCCCGCGUCUGAUUAGCUAGUUGGUUGAGGUAAUGGCUCACCAAGGCGACGAUCAGUAGCUGGUCUGAGAGGAUGAUCAGCCACAUUGGGACUGAGACACGGCCCAAACUCCUCCGGAAGGGGGGAGUGGGUAAUAUUGAAAAAGGGGGGAAGACAGGAAGCACCUAGGCCGGGUAAAAGAGGAAGUUAUAAGGGAAGAAAAAUUUUUGAACAGGUGAAAAUAAUGACGGUACCGGAGAAAAAAGCCCCGGCUAACUACGUG